GACGAACGCUGGCGGCGUGCUUAACACAUGCAAGUCGAACGAAGUGGCGAACGGGUGAGUAACGCGUAAUCAACCUGCCCUUCAGAGGGGGACAACCGUUGGAAACGCCUGCUAAUACCGCAUACUGAAGGAGGGGCUUGCGUCUGAUUCGCUAGUUGGAGGGGUAACGGCCCACCAAGGCGAGGAUCGGUAGCGGGGCUGAGAGGAGGAGCGGCCACAUUGGGACGGGGACACGGCCCAGACUCCGACGGGAGGCAGCAGUGGGGAAUCUGCCGCAAUGGACGAAAGUCUGACGGAGCAACGCCGCGUGAGUGAUGACGGCCUUCGGGUUGUAAGGCUCUGUUAAUCGGUACGCGGUACCGGAAUAGAAAGCCACGGCUAACUACGUGCCAGCAGCCGCGGUAAUAC
rnacentral:rRNA from 1 species